UGGAACGAUACAGAGAAGAUUAGCAUGGCCCCUGCCCAAGGAUGACACGCACAAAUCGAGAAAUGGUCCAAAUUUUUUUUCGCUCUCGGCAUUCUUUCCUUGUUCGAUCGCGAUCGGGCUGCUCUUCUUAUGCUCUUUUGUUCUUUCUUGCUUCGCGUUCUUCUGCUCUCUCUGUCCCAAAAUCUUCAUCUUUUUCUCGUUCUUUUCCUUCUUAUUUCCUUGAUCAAGGCACAGGGAGGAAGAAAGCUGCUUCUUCGGAGUGCGGUCGUGUUCCUUGUCCUCGUUGGUCAGUCCAUGGACGCUGGUCCUCUUCCUCGCUCGCUGAUCCACACCAAUGCGGACGCCUCCGUAGAAUCAAAUCGCAUGAUGAAAGCGCAUGAUGUGCUGCCCUUGGUCCGAAGCGCCGCUGCGAGGAAAAAGAUUGUCCGACAUCACCAACACGGUGAGUUCGGGGACGGCCGGAAUGAUGGGUGCCGAUGUCGAUCGAGGUAACUCCAAUGUGAUUUCUUGCCCGAUCUCCAAAGAUUGCAUCGUCCAGCUCAUGAAGGAAAAUACUGCCUUGUUGAACCUUCUUGCAGAAAAUAAGUAUGUAAAUUGUAGGAGGCACCAGUGAUGCAGAGGUGACCAAGAAGAAGGAAAUAAUUUGGGCCCAACAUGAAGUGAUCUUGAGUUGGAUCCUUACAGCCUGCUCAAGAGAAAGUUGCAAGAGAUCCUUGAAUUCUUCAGGCCAUUAGCACUACUUGAUGGUUCCUUCAGAGGGAUACCACCAAUAUCUGAAAGGGAUCUUCGAUUGAGAAAUAUAUACAGACAAACACACAAAUGUAUACAUUAAUAUUAGGAAAAAUAAAACAGAGACAGGGAUGGAGAAGAAUGGUUCUGCAAUCUGCAAGCAAGUUUCUCAAAAGCAAACCAAAAUUAGAACUUAUGAUGAGCUGAGUUGUUUCAAUCUAUCCAGGGAGAAUCAGAUUGUGGCCCAAUUCUAAAAGGCAAGACAAAUGGUGGUGUUUCAUGCCCCAACAAUGGCGGUCGUCAUUAGAUCGAGUGUGAUGCUGAAUGGUUGAAAUGUUGGAGUCAUCGAACAGCACUACACACCCAUGCUAACUAGAAGUUCUUGUCACCAGCAGAUUCAGGUACUAACUAUGAACUAAUUGAGGUGGAGAGUGUGCAUCUUAGGAGUUAGCACAUGCAUGGCUAUGAUACCAUGAGACUUCAUUCGAAAGCCAUGCCUAAAUCCUUCAUAAUCAAGAUCAUAUCCUGUAAUUGUCAGUCCAUUGAAGUGUUCCUUCAGCAACUGUGAUUACUUCUGAGGCUGGCAAAUUCCACUGGAUCGAACAGUUUUCACUGUGACAAAAGCAGAUCAAGGCUUGAAGAUUGCAUCUCAAGAAAUCUUUUUCUUUUGAUAGCUUUAAAGGUCUUAAUCCUAAAGACUGGUCUUCAAGCAGCAAUGUGAUUGAUUCUCUAUGUUUGUUGGAAGGCUUGCAUCUCAGAAAAAGACUGAAAGAGGCUGCCUCCUUUUAUUCCUUGAUCUCAUUAAAGGCGCAUUAUACUUGCUGCAUUGGUUUUCCUUCA